CUGCAGCCCGAGUGGUGAUCGAUUUUAUUGAGCCUAAAGCGUCCGUAGCCGGACUAGUAAACCCUUGGGUAAAUUGGGCAGCUUAACUGUCCAAAUUCCGAGGGGACUGCUAGUCUUGGGACCGGGAGAGGUCAGAGGUACUCAAGGGGUAGGGGCUAAAUCCUGUAAUCCUUUGGGGACCACCAGUGGCGAAGGCGUCUGACUAGAACGGAUCCGACGGUAAGGGACGAAACCCUGGGGCGCGAACCGGAUUAGAUACCCGCGUAGUCC
rnacentral:rRNA from 1 species